rnacentral:lncRNA from 10 species
UCUGUCUCUCCUGCCACCAUGUGAAGAAGGUGCUUGUUUCCCCUUUGCCUUCCGCCAUGAGUGUAAGUUUCCUGAGGUCUCCCAGUCAUACUGCUGGUUAAGCCUGCAGAACGGUGUACUUGUUUGAAAUGUAUCUGGCCCAAUCGCUGAGCGUCCGCGCUGCAUUUCUCCAAACUGCCCAGCAGGGGGCGGUGCUACCUCGGCUCCGCGCAGCCACGGCUUCCCGCUGGCGAACCAAGGGCGCGGAAUCUGGAGAGGGCGAGGAACAUCUUUCCUCCCACCUGUCCCCCGCCAAGCCUGCCAGACCCGUCUCAUCCGUGCUGCUGCUUCUGAAAAUCAGAAGAGUGAGGAUGAAAUAAAGUCUUCAUAAAGGAAAACCAUUUCUGGUCUUGAACUCCCAGCCUCAAGCCAUCCUCCCGCCUUGGCCUUUCAAAGUGCUGGAUUACAAGCGUGAGCCACCGUGCACAGCCAAGACACAAUUUUAAAUCGAGCGGUCAGGAAGCCUCCUGGAGAAAAUGACGUUUGAACAAAGACAUGAAGAAAGUGGAGAAUAUUUGGAGAAAAGCAUUUCAGGCAGAGGAAAGUGCCAGGGCAGAGGCCCCGAGGAUAUGGGACUUCCUUGUGGACAUAAAAUGGCUGCUGCAGCUCCAGGCCACACAUGCACCUUCCAGGUAGAAAGAACUCACUAGGAAAGGCAAGAAGAAAACUGUUCUCCCUUAACAAGAACCUCCCCAGUUUCAGCUUUCUUUGUGGGGUAGUGGAGAGGCAGCAUUCAGAGGUGCUGCUGACAGCCAUCGUGUGCUGCGGAGGAAGAUUGCCUGAGAAUGGAGCCAUUCAGGAGGAAAUGGGGCAGAGAAAUAAAGAGAAAUCAA